rnacentral:rRNA from 1 species
GGUUAAGUGACUAAGCGUACACGGUGGAUGCCUGGGCAGUCAGAGGCGAUGAAGGACGUACUAACUUGCGAUAAGCGCAGAUAAGGCAGUAAGAGCCGUUUGAGUCUGCGAUUUCCGAAUGGGGAAACCCAACUGCAUAAGCAGUUACUGUUAACUGAAUACAUAGGUUAACAGAGCAAACCGGGGGAACUGAAACAUCUAAGUACCCCGAGGAGAAGAAAUCAACCGAGAUUCCGGUAGUAGCGGCGAGCGAACCUGGAUUAGCCCUUAAGCACUCGGUGAAGUAGGUGAACAAGCUGGAAAGCUUGGCGAUACAGGGUGAUAGCCCCGUAACCGACGCUUCAUCGAGCGUGAAAUCGAGUAGGGCGGGACACGUGAUAUCCUGUCUGAAUAUGGGGGGACCAUCCUCCAAGGCUAAAUACUCCUGACUGACCGAUAGUGAACCAGUACCGUGAGGGAAAGGCGAAAAGAACCCCUGUGAGGGGAGUGAAAUAGAACCUGAAACCGUGUACGUACAAGCAGUAGGAGCACCUUCGUGGUGUGACUGCGUACCUUUUGUAUAAUGGGUCAGCGACUUAUAUUCAGUGGCAAGGUUAACCGUAUAGGGGAGCCGUAGCGAAAGCGAGUCUUAACUGGGCGCUCAGUCUCUGGAUAUAGACCCGAAACCGGGUGAUCUAGCCAUGGGCAGGUUGAAGGUUGAGUAACAUCAACUGGAGGACCGAACCGACUAAUGUUGAAAAAUUAGCGGAUGACUUGUGGCUAGGGGUGAAAGGCCAAUCAAACUCGGAGAUAGCUGGUUCUCCCCGAAAGCUAUUUAGGUAGCGCCUCGGACGAAUACUACUGGGGGUAGAGCACUGUUAAGGCUAGGGGGUCAUCCCGACUUACCAACCCUUUGCAAACUCCGAAUACCAGUAAGUACUAUCCGGGAGACACACGGCGGGUGCUAACGUCCGUCGUGGAGAGGGAAACAACCCAGACCGCCAGCUAAGGUCCCAAAGUAUUGCUAAGUGGGAAACGAUGUGGGAAGGCUCAGACAGCUAGGAUGUUGGCUUAGAAGCAGCCAUCAUUUAAAGAAAGCGUAAUAGCUCACUAGUCGAGUCGGCCUGCGCGGAAGAUGUAACGGGGCUAAGCAAUACACCGAAGCUGCGGCAAUGUCUUUUAGACAUUGGGUAGGGGAGCGUUCUGUAAGCCGUUGAAGGUGAAUCGUAAGGUUUGCUGGAGGUAUCAGAAGUGCGAAUGCUGACAUGAGUAACGACAAAGGGGGUGAAAAACCUCCUCGCCGGAAGACCAAGGGUUCCUGUCCAACGUUAAUCGGGGCAGGGUGAGUCGACCCCUAAGGUGAGGCCGAAAGGCGUAAUCGAUGGGAAACGGGUUAAUAUUCCCGUACUUCUGACUAUUGCGAUGGGGGGACGGAGAAGGCUAGGUGGGCCAGGCGACGGUUGUCCUGGUUCAAGUGCGUAGGCUUGAGAGUUAGGUAAAUCCGGCUCUCUCUAAGGCUGAGACACGACGUCGAGCUACUACGGUAGUGAAGUCAUUGAUGCCAUGCUUCCAGGAAAAGCCUCUAAGCUUCAGAUAGUCAGGAAUCGUACCCCAAACCGACACAGGUGGUCGGGUAGAGAAUACCAAGGCGCUUGAGAGAACUCGGGUGAAGGAACUAGGCAAAAUGGUACCGUAACUUCGGGAGAAGGUACGCUCUUGAUGGUGAAGUCCCUCGCGGAUGGAGCUGACGAGAGUCGCAGAUACCAGGUGGCUGCAACUGUUUAUUAAAAACACAGCACUGUGCAAAAUCGCAAGAUGACGUAUACGGUGUGACGCCUGCCCGGUGCCGGAAGGUUAAUUGAUGGGGUUAGCGCAAGCGAAGCUCUUGAUCGAAGCCCCGGUAAACGGCGGCCGUAACUAUAACGGUCCUAAGGUAGCGAAAUUCCUUGUCGGGUAAGUUCCGACCUGCACGAAUGGCGUAAUGAUGGCCACGCUGUCUCCACCCGAGACUCAGUGAAAUUGAAAUCGCUGUGAAGAUGCAGUGUACCCGCGGCUAGACGGAAAGACCCCGUGAACCUUUACUACAGCUUGGCACUGAACAUUGAACCUACAUGUGUAGGAUAGGUGGGAGGCUAUGAAGACGUGACGCCAGUUGCGUUGGAGCCGUCCUUGAAAUACCACCCUUGUAUGUUUGAUGUUCUAACUUAGACCCAUUAUC